GACAUCUGCAGGGGGCUCUGGGAGAGGCUGUCUCUGGAGGGUGGGGCCCAUGAACAGGAAGCUGUCCCCUCCCUGCUUCCCCUGCUGGAGAAGGGAUGCCCUCUUGGGUCAACGCUGGGAAGCUCAAUGGAAGGGGAUUGGGUCCUAGCUGGUGCCUCUGAGCCCCUGAGGAACCAGCCCUGGAGCUGCCCUACCUUGGACCCUUGUGUUAUAAGGAAGAAUACACUUGCCUCAGCAUCUCUUCAGCCAGACUGACUGGCCUGUGGGGAGACAGAGAGGCUCCCAGGAAGCUCCCAGGGAAGGAACAGAUGUCCUGGAGUUAUUUUUGAGUGAAAUAAAAAUAGCCUCGGGAAUAGCAUAAAA